GCUUUGUCAGGAAUUAUAUUGAACACAAGCGUGACGAAGCGUUAUACAUUUAUUCACGUGUGAACCAUAAGAACAUUGUCGUCGAAUUAUCAAAGGCAUUCCCGACAUUCUUGGCCUGGGUUUACACCUAUAUUAAACUUUUUUGAAAAAGAACUUGUUACUGAAGAAACAUUUCCUCUCUGUGAAGCUGGUGGGGUUAUGUAAUGAGGGCUUCAAUGGCUGGUGGCUCAGCUCAUUCAAGCGUUUAGUGUUCAGUUUAAUUGGGGGUUUGCUUGGAAGUUUAAAGAACAUUCAGUUGGCAGCUUCUUGGUUCAAACUGUCCCUAAUUUGGUCUACAUGGAACUAAGAGUGUGGUAAGAACUACAAAGUGGAUUGACUCUGCAGUAGAAAAAAUGAAGCUCUAUUCAGUCUGAGCGAGGUCUUUUCGGGUUCCAAUUUUGAUGAGACAUAGAGAUGGCUCCUCGGAGACAGAAUCCAUGUUAUGGACUGUACAACUGUGGAUAUACUAGUGUAUUGGUCACAUGGAAUUAUUAGAAUCAAGGCCAGAGUCAGGGACCCUAAGGAAAUCCCUAGAACUGCAAUUGAGGAAAUAGUGGAGGGUGGCCCUUUACUUGAUGGCAUGUUGAUCAGCAACAGGGAUAAUGUCUCUAAAGGAGGGAAUAUGACACCAAAAAGACCAAAAGGUGGCGGCUCAGAUAAUGCAUCUGUUUCUAAUGGCACUUGUACUAUGAAUGUUGAUGGAGUUAUCUUUGGUCAGUUCAGCUAGCAAGUUCACACACGGCAAGUUUUACUAUUAUCAAUGGAAGAAGUUCUGAUAUGUCCACCACUGAGGCCAGACCAGUAGGCCAUAUGGGUUGCUUCUUGAUUCUAACCACGAAGAAUUUUAUUUUGUUAGGAAGGGUUCAUUUUCUCUCUUCCGGUGUUUGGAAGAUCUGGAGCAACUUAUUUAUGGUUCUUCAGAUGAAUGGGGGAAAUCUCGGUGGUGUUGGAAUGAACUUACUGGACGACAUAUCUGACUCUGGAACCCUCAUUGAAGUCCUUAGGUGCAUGUGCCAUGUAAACUGUCAUGUGGGGCACGUCUUACAGACGUGGGCCGCGCGGCCAGGAGCAGCCGACGGCCGCAUCAGGCAAGGCGCAGGCUGGACAGGAGUCCUGAUCCGGGCACAUUAGUUCCUAGACUAGUUUGUUUCGUAUAGGUUUCUAGUUUGUUAUUAGCCCAUGGGGCCUUUAUAUAUCAGAUAGUUAGCACCCUUUAGGGGGAAGCAAUAAAGUUAUUUCCUUCUAUCUUCCCCUCC